AUGAAAUUACAAUGUAACUAUUUUUUUUUUCAGUGCACAGAAUGCAUCAGUACCCCUUUACUGGGUAUUAUCACGUGCAACCCUAUGACCCUGGCUACAUCAUCGCUUCUCAAGAUGAGAAAACAGAGGUCCCAUAUGAUAAAGGAACUUGUGGAAGACACAGCUCGGAGCUGCUGGUACUGGGGGCUUCAUUUAAGCCGUCCACGCUCCCGAGAAUUGCUUUGGACCAUUAUCUCCAGACUCUCCCUGGAUGUUAUCAUGUCCAGACUCUCCCUCUGCCCUAUCAGUAGCAGACACGUGUCCUUCAUUUUUGCCUGGACAUCUACAAGGAGCACAGGAUAAGCACUCUGAAUGCUGUGUCUCUCCAAAGGAGGCCUGCAGCGUCCCUCUUCUCCGGCUCGUUCAUGCAGGGGGUGGGGUGGCCCUGGGAACAGGACAAGGAAUUGUCCAUUUCUUAUGCAAAUGACAAUGGCGUAUGGGAGUUACAGGACAUAUAAAAUAAACAGAUAAAACCAAAUCAAGUCCAUUUUCUUCUCACGGUCAUCCCAUGAGGGCAAUUCGAAACCGUCAGUGAUAAACACUCCUUUCCUCGGAGACCGACGGCUCCCACAGCCAGCCUCCUCCACUGAGGACUCCCACUUGUCACGUUUGCUGAUCCUUCUCCCACGUGGCUGGCUCUGUCACCAGCUGUUCCAGCCACUCCGCUUCACAGAAGCCCCCUUCCUCUCUAAUUCCUGCACGUUCCACAAUAAAAAAAAACUGACCCUUUGGAUAUUUUCUAGAGUUGGUGCUCUGCCCUCUUCUGGUAACUUUUACUGAUAGAUACCC
rnacentral:lncRNA from 1 species